rnacentral:rRNA from 1 species
AGCCCGUUAAUGGGUGAUGGCGUGCCUUUUGUAGAAUGAACCGGCGAGUUACGAUUUGAUGCAAGGUUAAGCAGUAAAUGUGGAGCCGUAGCGAAAGCGAGUCUGAAUAGGGCGUUUAGUAUUUGGUCGUAGACCCGAAACCAGGUGAUCUACCCUUGGUCAGGUUGAAGUUCAGGUAACACUGAAUGGAGGACCGAACCGACUUACGUUGAAAAGUGAGCGGAUGAACUGAGGGUAGCGGAGAAAUUCCAAUCGAACCUGGAGAUAGCUGGUUCUCUCCGAAAUAGCUUUAGGGCUAGCCUCAAGUGAUGAUUAUUGGAGGUAGAGCACUGUUUGGACGAGGGGCCCCUCUCGGGUUACCGAAUUCAGACAAACUCCGAAUGCCAAUUAAUUUAACUUGGGAGUCAGAACAUGGGUGAUAAGGUCCGUGUUCGAAAGGGAAACAGCCCAGACCACCAGCUAAGGUCCCAAAAUAUAUGUUAAGUGGAAAAGGAUGUGGCGUUGCCCAGACAACUAGGAUGUUGGCUUAGAAGCAGCCAUCAUUUAAAGAGUGCGUAAUAGCUCACUAGUCGAGUGACACUGCGCCGAAAAUGUACCGGGGCUAAACAUAUUACCGAAGCUGUGGAUUGUCCUUUGGACAAUGGUAGGAGAGCGUUCUAAGGGCGUUGAAGCAUGAUCGCAAGGACAUGUGGAGCGCUUAGAAGUGAGAAUGCCGGUGUGAGUAGCGAAAGACGGGUGAGAAUCCCGUCCACCGAUUGACUAAGGUUUCCAGAGGAAGGCUCGUCCGCUCUGGGUUAGUCGGGUCCUAAGCUGAGGCCGACAGGCGUAGGCGAUGGAUAACAGGUUGAUAUUCCUGUACCACCUAUAAUCGUUUUAAUCGAUGGGGGGACGCAGUAGGAUAGGCGAAGCGUGCGAUUGGAUUGCACGUCUAAGCAGUAAGGCUGAGUAUUAGGCAAAUCCGGUACUCGUUAAGGCUGAGCUGUGAUGGGGAGAAGACAUUGUGUCUUCGAGUCGUUGAUUUCACACUGCCGAGAAAAGCCUCUAGAUAGAAAAUAGGUGCCCGUACCGCAAACCGACACAGGUAGUCAAGAUGAGAAUUCUAAGGUGAGCGAGCGAACUCUCGUUAAGGAACUCGGCAAAAUGACCCCGUAACUUCGGGAGAAGGGGUGCUCUUUAGGGUUAACGCCCAGAAGAGCCGCAGUGAAUAGGCCCAAGCGACUGUUUAUCAAAAACACAGGUCUCUGCUAAACCGUAAGGUGAUGUAUAGGGGCUGACGCCUGCCCGGUGCUGGAAGGUUAAGAGGAGUGGUUAGCUUCUGCGAAGCUACGAAUCGAAGCCCCAGUAAACGGCGGCCGUAACUAUAACGGUCCUAAGGUAGCGAAAUUCCUUGUCGGGUAAGUUCCGACCCGCACGAAAGGCGUAACGAUUUGGGCACUGUCUCAACGAGAGACUCGGUGAAAUCAUAGUACCUGUGAAGAUGCAGGUUACCCGCGACAGGACGGAAAGACCCCGUGGAGCUUUACUGUAGCCUGAUAUUGAAAUUCGGCACAGCUUGUACAGGAUAGGUAGGAGCCUUUGAAACGUGAGCGCUAGCUUACGUGGAGGCGCUGGUGGGAUACUACCCUAGCUGUGUUGGCUUUCUAACCCGCACCACUUAUCGUGGUGGGAGACAGUGUCAGGCGGGCAGUUUGACUGGGGCGGUCGCCUCCUAAAAGGUAACGGAGGCGCUCAAAGGUUCCCUCAGAAUGGUUGGAAAUCAUUCAUAGAGUGUAAAGGCAUAAGGGAGCUUGACUGCGAGACCUACAAGUCGAGCAGGGUCGAAAGACGGACUUAGUGAUCCGGUGGUUCCGCAUGGAAGGGCCAUCGCUCAACGGAUAAAAGCUACCCCGGGGAUAACAGGCUUAUCUCCCCCAAGAGUUCACAUCGACGGGGAGGUUUGGCACCUCGAUGUCGGCUCAUCGCAUCCUGGGGCUGUAGUCGGUCCCAAGGGUUGGGCUGUUCGCCCAUUAAAGCGGUACGCGAGCUGGGUUCAGAACGUCGUGAGACAGUUCGGUCCCUAUCCGUCGUGGGCGUAGGAAAUUUGAGAGGAGCUGUCCUUAGUACGAGAGGACCGGGAUGGACAUACCUCUGGUGUACCAGUUGUCGUGCCAACGGCAUAGCUGGGUAGCUAUGUGUGGACGGGAUAAGUGCUGAAAGCAUCUAAGCAUGAAGCCCCCCUCAAGAUGAGAUUUCCCAACUUCGGUUAUAAGAUCCCUCAAAGAUGAUGAGGUUAAUAGGUUCGAGGUGGAAGCAUGGUGACAUGUGGAGCUGACGAAUACUAAUCGAUCGAAGACUUAAUCAA